ACGGGAGGCAGCAGUGGGGAAUAUUGCACAAUGGGCGAAAGCCUGAUGCAGCAACGCCGCGUGAAGGAUGAAGGUCUUCGGAUCGUAAACUUCUGUCCUUGGGGAAGAUAAUGACGGUACCUGACUAAGAAGCCCCGGCUAACUACGUGCCAGCAGCCGCGGUAAUACGUAGGGGGCAAGCGUUAUCCGGAUUUACUGGGUGUAAAGGGAGCGUAGACGGCAUGGCAAGUCUGAUGUGAAAACCCGGGGCUCAACCCCGGGACUGCAUUGGAAACUGUCAGGCUAGAGUGCAGGAGAGGUAAGUGGAAUUCCUAGUGUAGCGGUGAAAUGCGUAGAUAUUAGGAGGAACACCAGUGGCGAAGGCGGCUUACUGGACUGUAACUGACGUUGAGGCUCGAAAGCGUGGGGAGCAAACAGGAUUAGAUACCCUGGUA
rnacentral:rRNA from 1 species